GUAUUGUAUUGCGUUAAACGCGGUGUACAUUCCAUGAGACUUUAUUACAGUGUGUGUGUGUUAAAUCCAUAGGACCACAGCAGGGGGGACGGUGCCCCCAGGCUACAGAACUAUGAAGGGUGCACAGGUGUGAGUGGAUGUGUAAACAGAGCGUGCACAUGCCCCCGUUUGAGGACCAGCAACAACUCGUGUUGACAAUUCGGUAAUGAUCCUUCCGCAGGUUCACCUACGGAAA
rnacentral:misc_RNA from 1 species